CAGUAGCCACGGUAAUACGGAGGGUGCAAGCGUUACUCGGAAUCACUGGGCGUAAAGCGUGCGCAGGCGGUUAUAUAAGUCAGAUGGGAAAUCCCCGGGCUCAACCUGGGAACUGCAUUUGAGACUGUAUGGCUAGAGUGUGUCAGAGGGGGGUAGAAUUCCACGUGUAGCAGUGAAAUGCGUAGAUAUGUGGAGGAAUACCGAUGGCGAAGGCAGCCCCCUGGGAUAACACUGACGCUCAUGCACGAAAGCGUGGGGAGCAAACAGGAUUAGAUACCCCCGUAGUCCCUGUCUCUUAUAC
rnacentral:rRNA from 1 species